AGAUGAUGAUGAUGCAACUCAAGUGACUCUAGAAACCUUCACUGAUGACCCUAAUCUGGUGAAUGACCCUGCUACAGACGAAACAGCUUCACCGGCUGACA